AACGAACGCUGGCGGCAGGCCUAACACAUGCAAGUCGAGCGAGGACUUCGGUCCUAGCGGCGGACGGGUGAGUAACGCGUGGGAACGUGCCCUUUGCUUCGGAAUAGCCCUGGGAAACUGGGAGUAAUACCGGAUGAGCCCUUUGGGGGAAAGAUUUAUCGGCGAAGGAUCGGCCCGCGUUGGAUUAGGUAGUUGGUGGGGUAAUGGCCUACCAAGCGGACGAUCCAUAGCUGGUUGGAGAGGAUGAUCAGCCACACUGGGACUGAGACACGGCCCAGACUCCUACGGGAGGCAGCAGUGGGGAAUCUUAGACAAUGGGGGAAACCCUGAUCUAGCCAUGCCGCGUGAGCGAUGAAGGCCUUAGGGUUGUAAAGCUCUUUCAGCUGGGAAGAUAAUGACGGUACCAGCAGAAGAAGCCCCGGCUAACUCCGUG
rnacentral:rRNA from 1 species